UACGUAGGUGGCACGCGUUGUCCGGAUUUACUGGGCGUAAAGAGCGCGCAGGCGGUCGUGCAAGUCGCGUGUGAAAGCCCCCGGCUCAACUGGGGAGGGUCACGCGAUACUGCUCGACUUGAAGGCAGGAGAGGGAAGUGGAAUUCCCGGUGUAGUGGUGAAAUGCGUAGAUAUCGGGAGGAACACCAGUGGCGAAGGCGACUUCCUGGCCUGUUCUUGACGCUGAGGCGCGAAAGCUAGGGUAGCAAACGGG
rnacentral:rRNA from 1 species